CCCCACCCCCUAGUGACGCCACUGCCUACAAGUUAUAAUUAGAAAUGACCAAGCCGAUGAAAUUAUUAUAUGUUGAUAAUUUAUCCUUUCUUUUUUUUCUACAUUCAAACAUUGUUAGUUUAAUCAUUUUUAUUGUGUUUGUAAAUUAUUUGUUAAUUAUGUUGAAUAUUGUAAACAUGAAAUGAUGACAGUUUGAUUCAGUGUUUAGAAUUAAAAACCUUUAGUAUGAAAAUUGAACAAUGCAAUUGUUUCUAUACAACUGUUUUUCAAUAUUGA